rnacentral:tRNA from 1 species
GCCGGGGUGCCUGAGUGGUUAAAGGGCUGGCCUCGAGAGCCAGUGGGCCUCGGCCCUCAAGGGUUCGAAUCCCUUCCCCGGCG